rnacentral:tRNA from 1 species
GGGAAGGUGGCUCAUUGGUAGAGUGCUUGCCUUGCAUGCAUGAGGCCCUGGGUUUGAUUCCCCCGCACCA